GGACGUUAAAUAGAUGAUUACUAUGCCUUGUUACGGUCUAGGAAGAUGAUCGUUCU
rnacentral:tRNA from 1 species